UACGUAGGGUGCUAGCGUUGUCCGGAUUUAUUGGGCGUAAAGGGCUCGUAGGCGGCGUGUCGCGUCAGGAGUGAAAGCCCGCUGCUUAACGGCGGGUUGGCUUCCGGUACGGGCAUCGCUGGAGUGCGGCAGGGGAGACUGGAAUUCCUGGUGUAGCGGUGGAAUGCGCAGAUAUCAGGAGGAACACCGGUGGCGAAGGCGGGUCUCUGGGCCGUUACUGACGCUGAGGAGCGAAAGCGUGGGGAGCGAACAGG
rnacentral:rRNA from 1 species